rnacentral:rRNA from 1 species
UCCAGACUCCUACGGGAGGCAGCAGUGGGGAAUAUUGCACAAUGGGGGGAACCCUGAUGCAGCGACGCCGCGUGAGUGAAGAAGUAUUUCGGUAUGUAAAGCUCUAUCAGCAGGGAAGAAGAUGACGGUACCUGACUAAGAAGCCCCGGCUAACUACGUGCCAGCAGCCGCGGUAAUACGUAGGGGGCAAGCGUUAUCCGGAUUUACUGGGUGUAAAGGGAGCGUAGACGGCAGGGCAAGUCUGGAGUGAAAGCCCGGGGCCCAACCCCGGGACUGCUUUGGAAACUGUGCGGCUGGAGUGCAGGAGGGGUAAGCGGAAUUCCUAGUGUAGCGGUGAAAUGCGUAGAUAUUAGGAGGAACACCGGUGGCGAAGGCGGCUUACUGGACUGUAACUGACGUUGAGGCUCGAAAGCGUGGGGAGCAAACAGGAUUAGAUACCCCAGUA